UACGUAGGGGGCAAGCGUUGUCCGGAAUCAUUGGGCGUAAAGCGCGUGUAGGCGGCUCGAUAAGUCCGCUCUGAAAGCCCGGGGCUCAACCCCGGGAGGCGGGCGGAAACUGUCGGGCUAGAGUCCGGAAGAGGCGAGUGGAAUUCCCGGUGUAGCGGUGAAAUGCGCAGAUAUCGGGAGGAACACCAAUGGCGAAGGCAGCUCGCUGGGACGUGGACUGACGCUGAGA
rnacentral:rRNA from 1 species